CUAGAUACUGUUUCGGCUGCAGGCAUACAAAACAGGAACUUCCGGUUUUAGCCUUCAAAAUAAAAGCGCGCUGCUGCACUCGUUCUGCACAGCACGAGUGAGGGCCUGAGGCUCUUGGACCACAACUUAGGACACCCUGGCCUGACACCUGGAUGUGCAUGUCCAUACCCCCCCUCUACCUGCCUGUUACUUUAAAGUCCAUAUUUAACCUAUACAGCUCUGGAUCCAUUGUCUUACCUAUUACUGCAACAAAUUGUCAGUUAUUUGCCUUUUUUAAAUAAUUGUACAUUUUAUUUUUUACUAAUGACUGAAAGCUGUGUGACCAUUUAACAAUUGCUGCAUAUACCUUGUCCUUCUCCCAAAGUAUUGACUUUCUCAUUUCUUCUCAUCUCAGGGAUUUAACAAUGGUGUAAUGUAGCUCAAACCAAUGCUUACACCUACCUAAUGCUUGGAUAACCAUGAGGAGAGAGAUGGACAAUUGGUAUGCAGCCACUAAUUUCAGGUGGCUUCAUCAACAGCUGGAAUGUGUUCCAAAUGGCACCCUAUUCCGUAUACAUAGUGCACAUUCCGCCUGUUGAGCACCACCCUGCUUGUUAUCCAUUUAUCCAUCCCAUUCCCCCAGUUAAGCAAACAAAGGGGAGAGGCUCUGACUAUAAUUUAUGUAGUAAAUUGCUUUUCCUAUCAAUUACUUUAUUUUAUAAACUUCCUUUGUUGUGUAUGCAUGUCCCUUUUUAAUAAAACCUUAAUUGUCUCCCGAGUGGCGCAGCGGUCUAAGGCACAGCAUCUCAGUGUAAGAGGCAUCACUGCAGUCCCUCGUUUGAAUCCAGGUUGCAUCACAUCUGGCCGUGAUUUGGAGUCCCAUAGGGUGACUCACAACUGGCCCGGGUUUGGCCUGGCUAGGCGGUCAUUGUAAAUUAUAAUUAGUUCUUAACUGACUUGCCUAGUUAAAUAAAACUUUUUGUUUUUUAAAUUAAUUCAAACAAGAAAUCAUUUUCACUGGUGGAUAUUCAUGAUGGACAUUAUACUGAACAGUCAUGUACCAAUGAGAUUCACAAGUAUUGCAUUUGUGUGUGUGGUGUUGCUAUUCAGCCUCAUCUAGAAUAACUGCUAACUGACAAAAUAACUCAGCCAUAGGAAAUCAUUGGGGAAAGAAGUCACGUCCGGUUGGCACAAAUCUUUAUUUGACUUUCUGUAAUAGAGCUACAGACCGUAUAAAAGCAUACAUUCAAAACCUUAUGGUCAAAUGUAAUGGAAUCCAAGUUUCUGGGUGUGUGGGGUUCAGUGACUUGAGGGGGAAAAAGAACCAGUGGAGGCAGGUAGAUGGGGGGGCCAGGUGGGAUUGGGCCAAGCACGUCCAGGUGUCAGGCCAGGAUGUACUCAGUAAUGGUCCAAGAGCCUUAGGCCCUCCGGAAGAGGAGACAAGAUGAGGGUUGCGAGCAUGCACUGGGGGCAAAGAAUGAUCAAUCGUGCUGUUGUGGACACUGGAUAAUCUGACUAAUAGGCGCACACACACCUGUAUGAGCUCGCUGUGGUACUGUAGGCCUAUUUGUGUUACUUUUCAAUUCAGGUAGCAUUCAAUGUCCUGCGUUUGUGUUAACCAUGGCAUCCAGCAUUGUAAAUAAAGAGAUGUGCAGAUUGUUAA